CUGUUUAUGCCCCAUAGCUUCAGUGGAACCAUUGUCAUCUACUGGACACGACCAGCACCCUCUCGAGCUGUCACUAGGAGCCCUCGUUACUAGUGUUGUCUGGUGUACACUACUGUUCUUGUUACUUUGCGCGUUCCUGCUCCAUCGGCGUUCCGUGCUCCGUAGAGGAAUGGCAGAUGAUAAAGAAUUCCAUAAACGGGAAGGAACAUAGCGCCCCUGUAAACACUCACCAAAUAUCUUGGAACUAAAAUUAAUAAAUCCGCCUAGGACGAAUGGCGAACCUGCAUGGGCCACAUAUCGCAACAUUGCAGACGUCGACGUACUUCAAAUAGACGCAGCCUCCAUCACUAGUAGCGUGGAGGGUAAACAAGGAGAAAAGACUGGAGGGAAGAAGG